rnacentral:rRNA from 4 species
GGUGACCUCGGAUCAGGUAG